UAGUGUUACAGCUCUUUUAGAAUUUGUCUAUCAGGCCUUC
rfam:Homo sapiens chromosome 1, GRCh38 reference primary assembly.